AUUGAACGCUGGCGGCAGGCUUAACACAUGCAAGUCGAGCGGAGCGAGGGUGCUUGCACCUUAGCUUAGCGGCGGACGGGUGAGUAAUGCUUAGGAAUCUGCCUAUUGGUGGGGGACAACAUUCCGAAAGGAAUGCUAAUACCGCAUACGCCCUACGGGGGAAAGCAGGGGAUCUUCGGACCUUGCGCUAAUAGAUGAGCCUAAGUCGGAUUAGCUAGUUGGUGGGGUAAAGGCCUACCAAGGCGACGAUCUGUAGCGGGUCUGAGAGGAGGAUCCGCCAAACUGGGACUGAGACACGGCCCAGACUCCUACGGGAGGCAGCAGUGGGGAAUAUUGGACAAUGGGCGGAAGCCUGAUCCAGCCAUGCCGCGUGUGUGAAGAAGGCCUUUUGGUUGUAAAGCACUUUAAGCGAGGAGGAGGCUCUUAAGGUUAAUACCCUUGAUGAGUGGACGUUACUCGCAGAAUAAGCACCGGCUAACUCUGUGCCAGCAGCCGCCGUAACAC
rnacentral:rRNA from 1 species